AUGUGGGCCCUAACAGGAAGCUGGAAGCUCGGAACUGGGUCGCCACUCCUCUCCGUUAUUUCUGAGAACUCCUCGAACAAUCGCUGCAAACAGCUGUCUUGUCCAAUCAGGGCUCAUUCUCCUGGGAGGCCCCAAGCCUGAUGAGAAACUGAUGUUCAAAGAAGUUAAAAACAUCAUCUGAAGGAAGUGUUAACAAUUAGGUCUGUGUGACAGCAGAUACUUCCACAGCCUAAUUUCCUG
rnacentral:lncRNA from 1 species